GGCACCAUGGCUCAGUUGGUCAAAGCGCCUGUCUAGUAAACAGGAGAUCCUGGGUUCAACUCCCAGUGGUGCCU